GAUGAACGCUGGCGGCGUGCCUAAUACAUGCAAGUCGAGCGAACGGACGAGAAGCUUGCUUCUCUGAUGUUAGCGGCGGACGGGUGAGUAACACGUGGAUAACCUACCUAUAAGACUGGGAUAACUUCGGGAAACCGGAGCUAAUACCGGAUAAUAUUUUGAACCGCAUGGUUCAAAAGUGAAAGACGGUCUUGCUGUCACUUAUAGAUGGAUCCGCGCUGCAUUAGCGAGUUGGUAAGGUAACGGCUUACCAAGGCAACGAUGCAUAGCCGACCUGAGAGGGUGCUCGGCCACACUGGAACUGAGACACGGUCCAGACUCCUACGGGAGGCAGCAGUAGGGAAUCUUCCGCACUGGGCGAAAGCCUGACGGAGCCACGCCGCGUGAGUGAUGACGGUCUUCGGAUCGUAAAACUCUGUUAUUAGGGAAGAACAUAUGUGUAAGUACCUGUGCACAUCUUGACGGUACCUAAUCAGAAAGCCCCGGCUAACUACGUG
rnacentral:rRNA from 1 species